CUGCUGCCCUGAGGCGUCCUGGGAGCCCUGCCUUCUUCGGGGUUCAUCGCGGCCCACAAACGUUUCCUCUCCUAGUUCCUGUCACCUUUGAAGUUUUGGACGCGAGCUUCAUCGGGCUGGUUUUCAUCUGUCUUGCAGCUCUACGCAGAUGUUGAGUAAAAGAAGAGAUCAGCAUUGAGCGCUGCUCUGUCUCACAUGUGGGAACCCUCAACAGAAGGAAAGGCCAUGCGUGCGCAUCCGGGAGCACGCAGUGAGGGA